GAUUGGCAAUGGUGUAAUAACCGAAACCGGUCUUUCUAAUUAUCAAUAAAUCAGUGGUUUUUUGACAAUUUCUUAGUCUUUUUCAUUCAAUCUUAUAGUACUCUUUAUGAGUUAUGCCCAAAGAUUUACGAUAAUAAUCCAUUAGAAUUAAGUGUCCUAGAAGCCGAGCCUAAGGCCCAUAUGCACCAUCUCUAUUUAAACGUAGAUUGGUCAGUUGUUGGUUCAAACCAGGAAUGUAAUACAUUAUAAUAAAUGCGACCAUAUCUUUGUGUAAACCAAGAUUAGAAUUAAAAGAAGAUGGAUAAGCAGAUCCUUGGGAGAAUAUGCAUCAUCUCAGUUAAAACGGCGAUAAAACAGUCGUUGGUUUAAACCAGGUAUAUACAACAUUAUAAUAAAAUGUGACAUAUCUUCAUGUAAACAAACCUAGAUGGUGCAUAUGAGCCUUACACAGAUUAACCAGACAGGUUGAUACAGAUUGAGAAAAUUAGUAUGUAACUAAUAAUGCAGGUUCACCAAGGCCCAUAUGCAUAAUCUCGGUUUGAACCUAGAUUAGCGUUAAAAGUAGAUGGUCCAUAAGAUCCUUGAGAACAUAUGCACCAUCUCAGUUUUAACGGCGAUGAAUCAGUUGAUAGUUAAAACUAGAAAUAAUGU